ACUGCACUUGGCACCAGAACACUCUCAUCAGCUGAAGUUCUACAUAGAAAGGCUGGGCUGGCAGUGGGAGAGCAGCUUUCCUGAGAAGGGUAUCCCAGUGAAACCCUGGGAUCUCCAUGGUAAGAUUUGGACACCACUCUCUUGCAGCCAAAGUAUUGGAGCUUCAGCUUCAGCAUCAGUCCUUCCAAUGAACAUUCAGAGUUUAUUUCCUUUAGGAUUGACUGCUUUGAUCUCUUUGCUGUCCAAGAGACCUUCAAGAGUCUUCUUCAGCACCACAAUUUGAAAGCAUCAAUUCUUUGGUACUCAGCCUUCUUUAUGGUCUAACUCUCGCAUCCGUACACAACUACUGGAGAAACGAUAACUUUGACUGGAUGGACCUUUAUUGGCAAAGUGACGUCU